GGCCUCUUCUGAAGUAGGAGGGGAGGCAACAGUCAGGCUGACCAUCUCCCCUUUCCAGUGUACUAUUUCCCAGUGCUCCCACUUUAUUCAAGUCUGUACUGGGCUCCAGAAUAGGAGUAGGGGAGCUUUGUAGUCCUGGGAAGCCAACCCAAGGCCCGUGCGUGUCAGGCCCCACACUGCCCAGUCAGUGCUCCGGGAAGGCAGCUUGCUUUGGUAAGGUGCAACUCCGGGUAUACAGGAAGGUACCUAUCGGAGAGUGAGGCCACACCAUGAGGUCUGGAAAGGGGCAUCACUGGAAAGGGGCAAGCUAGCAAUGGCCCAGGGCUUAAGGAUGUAGGAGGGGAAGAACCUACUCACCUCUGCACUGGGUGGGGCAGGCAAGCGCAGCUCCUCAGGGGGAGUCACCUCUGUAACAAUACCCAUUAGACCCCUCACUGUUUUUUGCCUUUUUUUUUUUUUUUUUUAAAAGACAAGGUCUGGCGUAACCUAAGCUGGCUUCAAAGUUCUGGCAAUCCUGCCCCAACCCCAGCUUUGGAGUGACUGAGCUACAGAUACGCUCUCCACACCUGACUAGCCCCUUCACUCUUACAGCCACCAGCACAAGAAGCUAUCCAGUGUCUCUCUCAAAAGGUGGGGGUAAAAGCUUUUGUCUCUGCAACUGUGCAAGUGUUCCCAAGGAAGCACCCAGUGAUGGACACUUACCAGUCCAAGUCCCCUCGGCUGAUCUCCGGGAGAUCCUGCUCCCCCUAUAUAGAGAGAAAACAAGUGGAUUUUUGAGGCUGAGCCCAGAGAAGCCCUGUGGGUCUAAAGGAACAGCGUGAGGAAAUAGAGACAGAAGGCAGAACCACAGGGAUGUGUCGGGGCCUGACCGGAACCCUGUGUUUAAGGGGAAACUCACCUCAAUGUGCAGCAUGCGAAUGGGCUCGGCCUCCUGUAGCGUGAUGACCUCAGGAUACUGUACUGUGGCUAAGGUCCUGUCUGGAAGAGCAGGGGAGUCACACCAGCCCUACUACUUCUUCCCAAGUUGGGACAGAAACAUGGACUUUGAAGACUGAGGGCCAGACACAGGCUAGUUACCAGCUAAUAAUUCCAAGCGCAUCUCUCUUUGUUUAGCUAUCUAUCUGUUUGGUUUUUUUGAGACAAGGUCUCACUAUGUAGCAGGCUGGCCCUGAACUAAGAUCUACCUGCCUCUGCCACUGAGAUUAAAAAGGGAUGUAACUAUCA